GACGAUACUGCAGUGCGAUGAACUAGAGAGUAUUCCAAGUUCAGACAGGUUCACAUCGCUCCGCAGCUUGGAGAUUUCUUAUUGUGGUAAACUAACAUGUCUACCGGAUGGGUUAGCAGCAUCGUCGCAGCCCUGCAGACUCACCCGUUUGAAGGAAUUGACACUUGGUCCUUUAGGCUAUGAGCUCGAUGCAUUUCCAGCUUUUCAGGCUAUACCACAACUUGAAUCAUUAACCAUCAAAGGGUGGGGCAAGCUCAAGUCUCUCCCUGAACAAAUUCAACACUUGUCUUCUUUAAGACAUUUGACAAUAGAGCACUUUGAUGGAGUGGAGGCUAUUCCAGACUGGUUGGGAAACCUUGCAUUUCUCGAAGACCUGACUAUCGAGUUUAGCAACGGUAUAAAGUAUCUACCUUCUGUGGAAGCCAUGCAACGCCUCACCAAUUUGAAGGAGAUAAGCAUAAUUUACUGUCGUCUUCUAGAAGAAAGAUGCAGGGAGGAGAGUGGCCCAGAGUGGCCUAAGAUUUGUCAUCUUCCAUUCAUCACUUUUCACGGAGAUCGAGGUAUACUACAUAUCGAGAAUUGACAAAGGCAGCGAACAAUAAGUUCGUAAUUGCUUCAAGGGCUGACAUCGAUGCCAAUAUAUAAUAAGGUUCCUAUCUUUGAAUGCUCUCUAUCGGAAAUUGCUUCAGUUGCUCGCGGUGUUUCAUUAACAUCAUGGAGUUUUGCACCAAGGCAAGAUAUAUCUGUAUAUACCUCCCUCGAUAUGUCUUCUCCACCGAAAAUAUGAAGACACUAUAUAUGUAAGGCAGAGUCUAAGGUUUUUUAU